AGAGUUUGAUCAUGGCUCAGAUUGAACGCUGGCGGAAUGCUUUACACAUGCAAGUCGAACGGUAGAGGGGGCAACCCCUUGAGAGUGGCGAACGGGUGAGUAAUAUAUCGGAACGUGCCCAGUCGUGGGGGAUAACGUAGCGAAAGUUACGCUAAUACCGCAUACGAUCUAAGGAUGAAAGCGGGGGAUCGCAAGACCUCGCGCGAUUGGAGCGGCCGAUAUCAGAUUAGGUAGUUGGUGGGGUAAAGGCUCACCAAGCCAACGAUCUGUAGCUGGUCUGAGAGGACGACCAGCCACACUGGGACUGAGACACGGCCCAGACUCCUACGGGAGGCAGCAGUGGGGAAUUUUGGACAAUGGGCGCAAGCCUGAUCCAGCAAUGCCGCGUGCAGGAAGAAGGCCUUCGGGUUGUAAACUGCUUUUGUCAGGGAAGAAAUCUUCUGGGUUAAUACCUCGGGAGGAUGACGGUACCUGAAGAAUAAGCACCGGCUAACUACGUGCCAGCAGCCGCGGUAAUACGUAGGGUGCGAGCGUUAAUCGGAAUUACUGGGCGUAAAGCGUGCGCAGGCGGCUUUGCAAGACAGAGGUGAAAUCCCCGGGCUCAACCUGGGAACUGCCUUUGUGACUGCAAGGCUAGAGUACGGCAGAGGGGGAUGGAAUUCCGCGUGUAGCAGUGAAAUGCGUAGAUAUGCGGAGGAACACCAAUGGCGAAGGCAAUCCCCUGGGCCUGUACUGACGCUCAUGCACGAAAGCGUGGGGAGCAAACAGGAUUAGAUACCCGGGUAGUCCACGCCCUAAACGAUGUCAACUGGUUGUUGGGUCUUCACUGACUCAGUAACGAAGCUAACGCGUGAAGUUGACCGCCUGGGG
rnacentral:rRNA from 1 species